CCUCAGAGUGGGGGCAGCAGAGCAGUGGUGAGAGAGUCUGAGAGGGAGAAAGUCUGGGUAGAAGGGACUCCACCACAUCCCAGCCAUGCAAAUGACUGAAGACUUGCCCGUUUGCCAAGCCGAUGACAAAAGGAAGUGACUGACAAGGCGGGCCUCGGCAUGGGAGGCUGGGAUGGGGAGAGGGUCCGGAUGCAGAGGGGGAGGCCCCGAGACCUUCAACCAGAGGCAAAGAUGUGAGGAAGCAGAUGGGACAAUCAGUCUUCACUUAACGAUACUUACUGAGCACCAGGCAGUGUGUCUCACACUGGGGUACAGCUGGAAAAAAGAGAGACAAAGCUCUGUCCUCCCCAAGAUCCCAACCGGACAAUGAAAAGGCACUGCUAUGAUCUGGGUGAGAACCGGGAUGCGGGGAGGGUGAGGAGGGGUGUCAGGCUGUCCUGAUAAGCAAGGAGGUAGAAAAAGGCUGUCCAGGCAGGGCAAACCACAUGUACAGGGCCCAGAGGGGAGGGGACACAGAACCCAUUCUGGGGAAUGAAGGAGGUCUGGCUAGCCUGGCAGGAAUAUCUGAUGCUAAGAUGGGUGCACCAAGGUGAAGGGUAGAGAAGGCCUGGGUCAUGCAGGCCCUCAGGGGCCAAGGGAGGGGAUGGGGACUUCACCAGUCAGUGUCCCAGGAGGGAUCCCGCAGGGCAAACAUGUAUGGUAGAAGCCUCACU